rnacentral:tRNA from 1 species
GCCUCGCCUGGCUCGGGGACAGGGAGGCCGAGGUCACGGACCUCGACGAUGCCCUCGCAGAGGGCCUCGAGGGGUUCGACGAUCCUGUGAGGCGC